GGAAAUGUGCCUGAAUUUUAAAGGGUCACUAUGAUAAGGUGAACAUAGAGGUGCACCAACCCUCUCAUUUCCU
rnacentral:tRNA from 1 species